CAGUAGCCACGGUAAUACAGAGGGUGCAAGCGUUAAUCGGAUUUACUGGGCGUAAAGGGCGCGUAGGUGGUUAUGUAAGUGAGAUGUGAAAUCCCCGGGCUUAACCUGGGAACUGCAUUUGUGACUGGCGAGCUAGAGUAUGGCAGAGGGGGGUAGAAUUCCACGUGUAGCAGUGAAAUGCGUAGAGAUGUGGAGGAAUACCGAUGGCGAAGGCAGCCCCCUGGGCCAAUACUGACGCUCAUGCACGAAAGCGUGGGGAGCAAACAGGAUUAGAUACCCCCGUAGUCCCUGUCUCUUAUAC
rnacentral:rRNA from 1 species